GAUCAUGGCUCAGGAUGAACGCUAGCGACAGGCUUAACACAUGCAAGUCGAGGGGCAGCAUAAAAGUAGCAAUACUUGGUGGCGACCGGCGCACGGUGAGUAACGCGUAUGCAACCUACCUAUCAGAGGGGAAUAACCCGGCGAAAGUCGGACUAAUACCGCAUAAAACAGGGACACCGCAUGGUGAUAUUUGUUAAAGAAAUUCGCUGAUAGAUGGGCAUGCGUUCCAUUAGGUAGUUGGUGAGGUAACGGCUCACCAAGCCGACGAUGGAUAGGGGAACUGAGAGGUUGGUCCCCCACACUGGUACUGAGACACGGACCAGACUCCUACGGGAGGCAGCAGUGAGGAAUAUUGGUCAAUGGGCGAGAGCCUGAACCAGCCAAGUCGCGUGAAGGAAAAGAAGGAUCUAUGGUUCCUAAACUUCUUUUGCAGGGGAAUAAAGUGCAGGACGUGUCCUGUUUUGUAUGUACCCUGAGAAUAAGGAUCGGCUAACUCCGUGCCAGCAGCUGC
rnacentral:rRNA from 1 species